GAUGAAGAACGCAGCGAAAUUCGAUAAGUAAUGUGAAUUGCAGAAUUCAGUGAAUCAUCGAAUCUUUGAACGCACAUUGCGCCCGCUAGUAUUCUGGCGGGCAUGCCUGUCCGAGCGUCAUUUCAACCCUCAAGCCCCCGGGCUUGGUGUUGGGGAUCGGCGAGCCUCCGCGCCCGCCGUCCCCUAAAUCUAGUGGCGGUCUCGCUGUAGCUUCCUCUGCGUAGUAGCACACCUCGCACUGGGAAACAGCGCGGCCACGCCGUUAAACCCCCAACUUCUGAACGUUUGACCUCGGAUCAGGUAGGAAUACCCGCUGAACUUAAGCAUAUCAAUAAGCGGAGGA
rnacentral:misc_RNA from 1 species